CAGCUUAACGAUGUUUGUAUGAAAUGGAUAAGAGAGGGUCUUAAAUUGGGACUGUCUUUGAAAAUGAUCUUCACCUUGGUUUCAUUUUCUAAAUGGUUCUUAUGCUUAGUUUCCUGACAUUUGUCUCAAGCACACGAGUUGCAUAGGUAAGAAUUGAAUAAUCCCUGUGGCUCCUUGGAUGAUUACCAUAACAAGGUUAGCAUAGUCAAUUACAUGACCUGAGCUAUUGACUACAGACUGAUGGAAAUGGAACCGUUAUCUUGAAGUUUCUGCACAUUUCAUGCUUGUGAAUGUUGAUCUUGGACUUGAUCUGUGAAAUAACUAAAACUAAAUGUUUCAAAAUGAGUUUUUUAGAUGGAAAUGAUUGUUUGGUGGCGAGUGACACAGUUUCUCUUGUAGAAGGCAAAGUGUAUAGCGAAAGAUUGAUCUAUAAUGACAGUUCGCCUUCUUGUGCCGACAUCUCCAUACUUAAUAGAUUUGGAAAUAGAUAGUAUCAUAUAAUGUUCACCAAUUUCACAUUGAACAAUUCUAGGCUUAUGCAACUGAUUAUUAAAAUGAUCUGACUUCAUUUUCUAAAUCCUAUGCUGGUGUUUUGUCAAUUUCUAUGGUUUUGGUUAAUGUGAUGGUUGGAUCUGUUAUUCCAGCUGCCGGGUAUUCUCAUUCUAUCCCUAGCUCCAAAGCAACUUGAAAGUUUUAUUGCUCUUCCAUCUGGAUACAUGGAGUUUAUUGAUAGUCAGAUAGUGAAACGUUGAAUCACAUUUGAGAAAACAUGAUUACACUGGACAAGGGUUCUCUUUGCAUUUUGGAUUGGUCUCCUUGGCUUUAGGAUCUUUGAGAUAAAAAAUCAUUUUGAGGGCGUGCAACUGGCUUCUGGUUGCACGCUUACAUAUAAUUAAGAUGUGGUUUGGAUUUCGUUUGCCUGGAUUUAGUCUUGGACAAGAAUCAUUAUUUUAAUGUGUGCGCAAUUUUAUAUUAAACUAAAAUAUAACCAAUGUAACAACUAAGAAUUGAAAACAAUUUAUGAACAAAUUAAUAUGUAAUAGAAAAACGAGGUAGAUUGAGGUUAUGUGAUGUAGCACACAUACUAGAGUAUGUUUGUAAUUAGCAUCUCAUUUGUUUAUCAACUUCUUUUAC